CAAACAGACAAGGGGAUUUGCGAUGCGGGAGAGCCGUGAGCACAGGGAAGCACGCAGACAAGCACGGCACAGGCAGCAGGGAGAAGAGGAAGGGAUGCAGAGCAAGUAUUUAAUCAUAAAUAUUUCAAGAUUCACCUUUGCUAUCAGAGCCAACCACCGCGCUCCUCAAUAACCUCGGGUGCCGGCUGUGGGGAUUUGUGCCCUGGUGUCAGCACACGGCGUGUGGAACGAAUAGCCCAGCACCGGCAGAUAAUUAAAACACACUCUGCUUUUCCUGCAAAACCUUC